rnacentral:miRNA from 1 species
UCAGCUCCUCUCUACCCACAG